UUGCAUAUCAAAAGCGGAGGAAAAGAAACCAACAGGGAUUGCCCCAGUAGCGGCGAGUGAAGCGGCAAGAGCUCAGAUUUGAAAUCGUGUUUCGGCACGAGUUGUAGAGUGUAGGCGGGAGUCUCUGUGGAGCGCGGUGUCCAAGUCCCUUGGAACAGGGUGCCUGAGAGGGUGAGAGCCCCGUAGGGUGCUGCGCGAAGCUUUUGAGGCCCUGCUGACGAGUCGAGUUGUUUGGGAAUGCAGCUCCAAGCGGGUGGUAAAUUCCAUCUAAGGCUAAAUAUUGGCGAGAGACCGAUAGCGAACAAGUACUGUGAAGGAAAGAUGAAAAGCACUUUGAAAAGAGAGUGAAACAGCACGUGAAAUUGUUGAAAGGGAAGGGUAUUGGGCUCGACAUGGGGGGUGCGCACCGCUGUCUCUUGUAGGCGGCGCUCUGGGCGCCCUCUGGGCCAGCAUCGGUCCUGCUGCGGGAGAAGGGGCUCCGGAAAGUGGCUCUUCGGAGUGUUCUAGCCGGGGCCAGAUGCCGCGUGUGGGGACCGAGGACUGCGGCUC
rnacentral:rRNA from 1 species